AUACGGAGGGUGCAAGCGUUAAGCGGAUUUACUGGGCGUAAAGCGUGCGUAGGCGGUUGGGUAAGUCAGAUGUGAAAGCCCCGGGCUUAACCUGGGAAUUGCAUUUGAUACUGUCCAGCUAGAGUCUGGUAGAGGGAAGUGGAAUUCCGGGUGUAGCGGUGAAAUGCGUAGAUAUCCGGAGGAACACCAGUGGCGAAGGCGACUUCCUGGACCAAGACUGACGCUGAGGUACGAAAGCGUGGGGAGCAAACAGGAUUAGAAACCCCAGUAGUCC
rnacentral:rRNA from 1 species